CCUACGGGUGGCAGCAGUAGGGAAUAUUGGUCAAUGGGGGAAACACUGAAGCAGCAACGCCGCGUGGAGGAUGAAGGUUCUCGGAUUGUAAACUCCUUUUGGUAGAGAAGAAAAUGACGGUACCUAACGAAUAAGCACCGGCUAACUCCGAGACAGCAGCCGUGGUAAUACGGAGGGUGCAAGCGUUAUUCGGAAUGACUGGGCGUAAAGAGCGCGUAGGCGGGAUAGCAAGUCAGAUGUGAAAACCUAUGGCUUAACCCUAGAACUGCAGUUGAAACUGUUAGUCUAGAGUAUGGGAGAGGUAGGUGGAAUGCGUGGUGUAGCGGUGAAAUCCGUAGAGAUCAAGAGGAAUACUGAUUGCGAAGGCGGCCUGCUAGACCAUAACUGACGCUGAUGCGCGAAAGCGUGGGGAGCAAACAGGAUUAGAUACCCUAGUAGUC
rnacentral:rRNA from 1 species